UAUUAUUAAUAAUUGCUAGCAAUAAACCACUUGUACGGUUGGCUCACCGUUUUCCCGGGUCGUCGGCAGUCUGGUUCGCUCCUGAAAACUAUACAGGCAGCUGCUGUAAAUUUGUCAGAACCAGAUUAGUCGUAGCCUUCACAAGAAGUGUAGAAAACUAGAAACGGAAUUGCUUUUCUGAUUCUGAACGACCUCUGGUGGUGGACGCCAUGUCAACGAGUAAGCUGAAAUUGUAUUCAUAUUGGUGGAGCUCCUGCUCAUGUCGGGUGCGAAUUGGUCUCAACUUGAAAGGACUCGGCUAUGAUUACAUUGCUGUCAACAUGCGCAAUGGAGAGCAUUACAGUGAUGAGUUUAAAAAGCUCAAUCCUAUUAGCUAUGUACCCGUACUGGUUGAUGGUGACAUUGUGGUUUCCGACUCAUUUGCCAUUCUAAUGUAUUUGGAAGAAAACUAUCCUCAACACUCAUUGUUGCCUAGAGAUCCAAAGAAAAGAGCUAUCAAUUACCAGGCAGUAAAUAUUGUUUCCUCAAGCAUACAGCCUUUUCAGAAUUCGGGGAACCGGAAGUUCAUAGAGGGAAAAAUAAGUUCAGAAGUGCAAAAUAACUGGGUCAAGAAUCAUAUUGAGAGAGGCUUUACUGCACUAGAGAAGCUGCUAAAAGACUAUGCUGGAAAAUAUGCUACUGGAGAUGAAGCUCACUUGGCAGAUUUGUUUUUAGCGCCACAAAUUGAUGCGGCGAUCGAGAGGUUUAAUCUUGACAUGCUAAAUUUUUCGUAGGUCCUUUUUUAGAGCCUUGUGUGGAAAUGAGAAAAAAACUUACGAAGAAGAUAGGCGUAGUUCCAUCAUUAAUUACCAUGGAACAUGAUGGCUAAUAUCCUUCCAACCCAGUUCCCACUCCUACUCAGGCUACAUGAGGUAUACAGUGAGCACCCAGCAUUUCAAGAUGCUAUGCCAGAGAAGCAGCCAGAUGCGCCUUCUUCAAGAACUACUUGAAUGAAUGGUCUUAUUAGGUAUUUGAAUUGAUUGCAGAAUCCAAACCAGUUAUUUCCCGAUAUAUGUUAUGGUGCUUGAAAUAAAAAGUUUAUUUUUACCAUCAUUCUGGAAUGUUGGUUUACCCUGAACAUGAUAGCUAAUUUUCUCAGUAUGUUGGUUUUGUACCGCUUGUAGCAUAUCUACCCCGGCCACCCAUCCUGUCUCUU